CGUAGGUGGCAGCGUUGUCCGGAUUACUGGCGUAGGAGCGUAGGUGGAUAUUAAGUGGAUGUGAAUACUCGGCUUAACUUGAGUGCUGCAUUCCAACUGGAUAUCUAGAGUGCAGGAGAGGAAGUAGAAUUCCUAGUGUAGCGGUGAAAUGCGUAGAGAUUAGGAAGAAUACCAGUGGCGAAGGCGACUUUCUGGACUGUAACUGACACUGAGGCUCGAAAGCGUGGGAGCAAACAGGAUU
rnacentral:rRNA from 1 species